AAUCUUUAGGGAUUUAGUGGCGGACGGGUGAGUAACGCGUAAGAAUCUACCUUCAGGUCGGGGACAACCACUGGAAACGGUGGCUAAUACCGGAUGUGCCGAGAGGUGAAAGGCUUGCUGCCUGGGGAAGAGCUUGCGUCUGAUUAGCUAGUUGGUAGUGUAAGAGACUACCAAGGCGACGAUCAGUAGCUGGUCUGAGAGGAUGAUCAGCCACACUGGGACUGAGACACGGCCCAGACUCCUACGGGAGGCAGCAGUGGGGAAUUUUCCGCAAUGGGCGAAAGCCUGACGGAGCAAUACCGCGUGAGGGAGGAGGGCUCUUGGGUUGUAAACCUCUUUUCUCAGGGAAGAACAGAAUGACGGUACCUGAGGAAUAAGCAUCGGCUAACUCCGUGCCAGCAGCCGCGGUAAUACGGAGGAUGCAAGCGUUAUCCGGAAUGAUUGGGCGUAAAGGGUCCGCAGGUGGCAUUGAAAGUCUGCUGUUAAAGAGUCUAGCUCAACUAGAUAAGAGCAGUGGAAACUACAAAGCUAGAGUUUGGUCGGGGCAGAAGGAAUUCCUGGUGUAGCGGUGAAAUGCGUAGAUAUCAGGAAGAACACCAGUGGCGAAGGCGUUCUGCUAGGCCGAGACUGACACUGAGGGACGAAAGCUAGGGGAGCGAAUGGGAUUGGAUACCCCAGUAGUCCUAGCCGUAAACGAUGGAUACUAGGCGUAGCUCGUAUCGACCCGAGCUGUGCCGGAGCUAACGCGUUAAGUAUCCCGCCUGGGGAGUACGCAGGCAACUGUGAAACUCAAAGGAAUUGACGGGGGCCCGCACAAGCGGUGGAGUAUGUGGUUUAAUUCGAUGCAACGCGAAGAACCUUACCAAGGCUUGACAUGUCACGAAUCUUAUAGAAAUAUAGGANUGCC
rnacentral:rRNA from 1 species